GACGAACGCUGGCGGCGUGCUUAACACAUGCAAGUCGAACGGAAAGGCCCUGCUUUUGUGGGGUGCUCGAGUGGCGAACGGGUGAGUAACACGUGAGUAACCUGCCCUUGACUUUGGGAUAACUUCAGGAAACUGGGGCUAAUACCGGAUAGGAGCUCCUGCUGCAGGGUGGGGGUUGGAAAGUUUCGGCGGUGGGGGAUGGACUCGCGGGUUAUCAGCUUGUGGGUGGGGUAGUGGCUUACCAAGGCUUUGACGGGUAGCCGGCCUGAGAGGGUGACCGGCCACAUUGGGACUGAGGUACGGCCCAGACUCCUACGGGAGGCAGCAGUGGGGAAUAUUGCACAAUGGGCGGAAGCCUGAUGCAGCAACGCCGCGUGCGGGAUGACGGCCUUCGGGUUGUAAACCGCUUUCGCCUGUGACGAAGCGUGAGUGACGGUAAUGGGUAAAGAAGCACCGGCUAACUACGUG
rnacentral:rRNA from 1 species